AAAAUAAGUUGCGCCGUCGCUGCUCAUCAACCGAUGAGUAGAGGAACUUCCCGACUCUCAGCUUUGACGUUGUUCAAAGCAAGAUCGCCUCACGAAACAGUAAGUGAGGGCACUCCUUCUUGGAGUGACUACAACCGCAACAGAAAGUAAACCAGCCCCAAGCGGGCAAUGGCUGAAACGGUAGGGUAAGAGCCUACCAGCGGUGUUCGGUAACGGCACCGGCUAGGCGAGCGUGCGAUUGAGAGCAAGGUGAGUGGGCCAGGCCCGAUGGGUUUGGUCUCAUCGCAGCGACAAUGGUGAAGUAGGGUUACACUCUACAAGCUAAACGUUGCCACUCUCAUUUAAAAAUGAGAGUGAGACAGAUGACGGUUAAAACAAAAUCGGGGGUACACACUUAUUUUACGU
rnacentral:RNase_P_RNA from 1 species